rnacentral:tRNA from 1 species
GCCUGGGUGACUCAGUUAGUUGAGCAUCUGACUUCGGCUCAGGUUGUGAUCUCAUGGUUCGUGAGUUCGAGUCCCACAUCAGGCU